UACGGAGGGCGCAAGCGUUGUCCGGAAUUAUUGGGCGUAAAGAGCUCGUAGGCGGUCUGUUGCGUCCGCUGUGAAAACUCGGGGCUUAACCCCGAGCCUGCAGUGGAUACGGGCAGACUAGAGGUAGGUAGGGGAGAAUGGAAUUCCCGGUGUAGCGGUGAAAUGCGCAGAUAUCGGGAGGAACACCGGUGGCGAAGGCGGUUCUCUGGGCCGAAAUUGACGCUGAGGAGCGAAAGCGUGGGGAGCAAACAGG
rnacentral:rRNA from 1 species